GAAACGACUGCUAAGACUGGAUAGGAAGAAAUAAGGCAUCUUAUUUCUUUUAAAAGACCUAGUAAUAGGUAUACUUUAGGAGGGGCUUGCGCCAUAUUAGUUAGUUGGUAGGGUAAUGGCCUACCAAGACGAUGAUGUGUAGCUGGACUGAGAGGUUGAACAGCCACAUUGGGACUGAGACACGGCCCAAACUCCUACGGGAGGCAGCAGUAAGGAAUUUUCGGCAAUGGAGGAAACUCUGACCGAGCAACGCCGCGUGAACGACGAAGUACUUUGGUAUGUAAAGUUCUUUUAUCAAGGAAGAAAAGCAAGUGGCGAACCAUUUGUUUGCCGGUACUUGAUGAAUAAGCCCCGGCUAAUUAUGUGCCAGCAGCCGCGGUAAGACAUAAGGGGCAAGUGUUAUCCGGAAUUAUUGGGCGUAAAGGGUGCGUAGGCGGUCUAGUAAGUCAGUGGUGUAAUGGCAACGCUCAACGUUGUCCGGCUAUUGAAACUGCUAAACUUGAGUUAGAUAGAGGCGAGUGGAAUUCCAUGUGUAGCGGUAAAAUGCGUAAAUAUAUGGAGGAACACCAGAGGCGUAGGCGGCUCGCUGGGUCUUAACUGACGCUGAGGCACGAAAGCGUGGGGAGCAAACAGGAUUAGAUACCCUGGUAGUCCACGCCGUAAACGAUGAGUACUAAGUGUCGGGUUAAACCGGUACUGAAGUUAACACAUUAAGUACUCCGCCUGAGUAGUACGUACGCAAGUAUGAAACUUAAAGGAAUUGACGGGACUCCGCACAAGCGGUGGAUCAUGUUGUUUAAUUCGAAGAUACCCGAAAAACCUUACCAGGUCUUGACAUGUUUUUGCGAAACGGUAGUAAUAUCGUAGAGGUUAUCAGAAACACAGGUGGUGCAUGGUUGUCGUCAGCUCGUGUCGUGAGAUGUUAGGUUAAGUCCUAAAACGAGCGAAACCCUUAUCGUUAGUUGCCAGCACGUUAUGGUGGGGACUUUAACGAGACUGCCAGUGAUAAACUGGAGGAAGGUGAGGAUCACGUCAAAUCAGCAUGCCCCUUAUGACCUGGGCUACAAACGUGAUACAAUGGCUGUUACAAAGGGUAGCUGAAACGUAAGUUCUUGGCCAAUCCCCAAAAACAGUCUCAGUCCGGAUUGAAGUCUGCAACUCGACUUCAUGAAGUUGGAAUCGCUAGUAAUCGCGAAUCAGCAUGUCGCGGUGAAUACGUUCUCGGGGUUUGUACACACCGCCCGUC
rnacentral:rRNA from 1 species